GCACUUCUGAAGAGUCCCACAAUAGGGCGAAACGGAUGUCCAGUGC
rnacentral:hammerhead_ribozyme from 1 species